GUCGAGCGAAUCGACGGGAGCUUGCUCCCUGAGAUUAGCGGCGGACGGGUGAGUAACACGUGGGCAACCUGCCUAUAAGACUGGGAUAACUUCGGGAAACCGGAGCUAAUACCGGAUACGUUCUUUUCUCGCAGGAGAGAAGAUGGAAAGACGGUUUACGCUGUCACUUAUAGAUGGGCCCGCGGCGCAUUAGCUAGUUGGUGAGGUAAUGGCUCACCAAGGCGACGAUGCGUAGCCGACCUGAGAGGGUGAUCGGCCACACUGGGACUGAGACACGGCCCAGACUCCUACGGGAGGCAGCAGUAGGGAAUCUUCCGCAAUGGACGAAAGUCUGACGGAGCAACGCCGCGUGAACGAAGAAGGCCUUCGGGUCGUAAAGUUCUGUUGUUAGGGAAGAACAAGUACCAGAGUAACUGCUGGUACCUUGACGGUACCUAACCAGAAAGCCACGGCUAACUACGUGCCAGCAGCCGCGGUAAUACGUAGGUGGCAAGCGUUGUCCGGAAUUAUUGGGCGUAAGCGCGCGCAGGUGGUUCCUUAAGUCUGAU
rnacentral:rRNA from 1 species